UUUAAGGGCUGUGGGAGGCGGCAAAUGGUAGGAGACGCUUAGCCUAGCAGGGACGAAAGGCCAGCAUGGGGACCUCGGAGCCACGAGUCCUCCGCUGAAACCUAGGUUUCCUCAUUCGAAAUGGGCAUCUCUGCUUUAGCACAGGUAGAACUAGAAUGCAGAGCAAGAGAGGAGGUGGCGAAGGGUGCGCAAGACAGAUCGUACGACGGCGAGGCUUCAGAAUUCUUCAAAUGCAUCUUCUCACUUGAAUCUCACGGGUGGGAGAAGCAGACACAUCAGAGCCCAACCGUUUUUCAGCCUUGUAUCCCACUGGUCUGGGGACUCCUGGCAAACUGAACCCAAUGCCUUUUGAUGUCCAGGCCUUUGCUCCUGCUUUGCUCCCUGCCUGGAAUGCUCUCCUUUUACCUGUUGAGUUUCUGCUCCCCCUUGGAGGCCAGUGGCUGAGAGGAAAGUGGCUGUUUCUUGGCUUGAGACCCAGGAACUAUCUAAUCAUCCUACCGUGGCAGAGUCUGUGGUUGAGGGUUAGUCUGUGGAGUUCCUGCUGCCUCCAGAAGCAUCUCAGAGCCCUCAGAAUAUGCACAAUGCCUCAUCUUGAGUGGCACCUCCACCCCAUGUGAGCCCAGGAUAUGAGGGUAGCUUGAAGGCUAUGGGGGACCAUCUGGGCUGCUGUGAGGGCAACAGUAUCCAUCACCUUGGCCCAUGGUAUUUGUAGAAGAGCCCUACCCCCACACCCCAUGUCUGCCUUCCUUAACUCAACCUGUGUGAUCUGCCUGGUGGAAGUGACCUGUCGUGAGAUCCCCCAGCUCUGACAUCUGCCUCAGGCCUACAGUAGGGAUCAGAAGUAGAGCCCGCUCUCUCCCCACUGCCCUUCUGCACUACUGAAGCAGGGCCUUCCCAGAUGGAAGAAGUGAAGCACAGAGAAGACCCAAGUGCUUGAUGCCCCCAGCGGGCUUGUGUUCUUGCCAUUGCCUCCCUCUCCCAUCCCUGCUUGUGGUCUCUGAUUCAAGGGUAUGUGGCACAAUGAGAACACAGGCUUGGGAGUCAGUGAAUCUGGGUUUGACUUUGGCCCAGCCAUUCACUGCUGGUAUGACCUUGAGUUAAUCACUUAGCCUCUCCCAAUCUGUUUCAGCAAAAUGGAGGUAAUACUACAUCUGACCUCAGAGGGCUGUUGGGAGGACAAAAUGAAGAUGCACAUAAAUCACUUAGAGGUC